rnacentral:rRNA from 1 species
GACGAACGCUGGCGGCGUGCCUAACACAUGCAAGUCAACUUGACUGAAGGAGCAAUCUGACAGUAGAGUGGCGCAAGGGUGCGUAACGCGUAAGUAACUUGCCCAAGGUAAGGAAUAACGUCGAGAAAUCGGCGCUAAUACCUCAUAAUGCAGCGGAUCCGCAUGGAUAUGUUGUUAAAGGUUUACCGCCUUGGGAUAGGCUUGCGUCUGAUUAGUUAGUUGGUGUGGUAACGGCAACACCAAGGCUACGAUCAGUAACUGGUCUGAGAGGAUGAUCAGUCACACUGGAACUGAGACACGGUCCAGACUCCUCCGGGAGGCAGCAGUGAGGAAUAUUGGGCAAUGCUCGAAAGAGUGACCCAGCAACGCCGCGUGGAGGAUGAAGGUAUUCUA